GAUGAACGCUGGCGGCGUGCCUAAUACAUGGGAGUCGAGCGAACGGACGAGAAGCUUGCUUCUCUGAUGUUAGCGGCGGACGGGUGAGUAACACGUGGAUAACCUACCUAUAAGACUGGGAUAACUUCGGGAAACCGUAGCUAAUACCGGAUAAUAUUUUGAACCGCAUGGUUCAAAAGUGAAAGACGGUCUUGCUGUCACUUAUAGAUGGAUCCGCGCUGCAUUAGCUAGUUGGUAAGGUAACGGCUUACCAAGGCAACGAUGCAUAGCCGACCUGAGAGGGUGAUCGGCCACACUGGAACUGAGACACGGUCCAGACUCCUACGGGAGGCAGCAGUAGGGAAUCUUCCGCAAUGGGCGAAAGCCUGACGGAGCAACGCCGCGUGAGUGAUGAAGGUCUUCGGAUCGUAAAACUCUGUUAUUAGGGAAGAACAUAUGUGUAAGUAACUGUGCACAUCUUGACGGUACCUAAUCAGAAAGCCACGGCUAACUACGUG
rnacentral:rRNA from 1 species